rnacentral:lncRNA from 1 species
GGGAAUGAAGAAAUAGAUGGUGUCACCUCCUUUAAUUUCCUAGAAAGAGAAAACAAGGCACUGAUGCAGCCAGCGAUGAGCAGGAAUGGGAACCUGCAAUCUCCUGGAAUCUGCAACACAUUUCUGCUCUAUCAGAAGAAGAAAUGCAAGGAAGAAGUCAGGCCUUCAGUGAUCUUUCUGGAAGACAUCAAGGAAAGAUGCUUUGUCUCACUCCACACUUCUGGGGUGAUGUCCUGUGAUGUCAACCCAGGAUGGCAAAAAGGACAAGAUUAUCUACUCCCUGACCUACUUCAGUGACUGCAUAAGCUCAGGGUCAGAAGCACUGAAGAAAGCAGUAAGUGGCCACCGCUCCAUCCUGAGGCCUGGACCUCAGGAAGAGAGUCCCUGAGAGAACUGGAGAGAGAGGGAGAAUGUGAAAUGGGGUUGGAGUGAAUUUAAUUUGAAUUUCAAAGGGUAAGGUCCUUUGAGUUUCAUCUAUGUUGCACGUACAUAGUUUUAAAAAGUGGUAUCAUGCUGUUUCUGUUAUUUCACACUCUAUGGAUUUUCACGUAACAAAUAUUUGAAGGCCAUUCAUGACAAAUAUAUAUAUAUAUAUCUCCAUAAACAUCAUGAUGUUGGGGGUGGCUGUGACAGAGACUGACCACUCGGCACAAGUAACAGAUGCUGCUUCUGGGCGGAAGGAGUGAAAAGACCAGGCAUACUUCUCCAGUUUCCUCCUCCCUGUUCUAGCAAUCAUGGAAGAGGCUUUGUACUGAGAUGAUGGUGCCAAAAGAUGCCAGUGGUCUGUGCUGCUGAGUUAUUAUGUGGACAGCUGCCUGUAGUGCCAUACAGACUAGCUAACCAUGUUACUUUGGGGUUGAGAUGAGUAAGAAGUAUGUGUACCUUCUCUUCCUCUUUUUCUCCUGAUGACGAUGAAGUUUUGAGCCAUUACACAUUUUUUGUUUCGUUUACAACAGCAGACCACAUUAACUUUUAAA